rnacentral:rRNA from 1 species
CCCUUAGAUGUUCUGGGCCGCACGCGUGCUACACUGAGUGGGUCAGCGGGUCAGGUUGCGCGAAAGCGCUUCCUAAUCUUUAAAUCCGCUCGUGAUGGGGAUUGACGGUUGCAAUUUUCUGUCAUGAACGAGGAAUACCUUGUAAGCGCGGGUCAUCAUCCCGCGCUGAAUACGUCCCUGCCCUUUGUACACACCGCCCGUCGCUACUACCGAUUGAAUGGCUUAGUGAGCCCGAGGGACUGUUGCACCUAGAGGGUUUUCUCUCCAGGAGCAGCCGGGAACUCGGUCAAACUUGAUCAUUUAGAGGAAGUAAAAGUCGUAACA